rnacentral:lncRNA from 1 species
UAUUUUACCUGACUAAAUAGUAAAGAGUCCUCCCUCGAGCUAACAAGGAAUCUAGCAUUCUUGCUAAAUUUCCUAUUGAUUAGCAUUCCUCUUGGACCCACAAAUCAUUAACGAUGAAUUGAAAUCACAUCAAACAAGAUCAAUUUAGGAGUUAGGGUUUAGAAAACAACACACUAUAAUCCUGAAAUAACAUCAAUUACGUAGCAAAGGUUUAAAAACCCAUCAUCUUCCAUACAAAAACUAAUCUAGAGGUUCAUCUCAUCCAAAAAACACAAAGGGUUUAGCUACUCAUGGUUUUAAGAACAAAAAAGCUAGAAAAGAGGAAGAUAAUUGGAGAAGAUGACAUCUUGCUUCAAGAAAUAUCAAUCUUCAAAAUUCUCUUUGAUCAAUUGCCAAGCGUAGUGGAAAAUAUUACUUCUAUCGUCUCCAAAUCUCACCGAAUUUGUUUUCGCCAAUGCUCAGUGUAACAACACGCCUCCACCUCGUCAGGUCGACCGGAAACGAAACUCGAACUGCAUGGUUGGUAUGGGUUGGUUUGGGUUAGCUUCGUCAGCUAUGUUGAAGGGAGCAACGACCGUUGGGAAAGUAUCGGGUGUUGCUAAGGGAAUUAUAAGAGUGUCUCAGCAGACGUUUGGAUCAUAGUGGAAGAGUGGCAAUUUUAUUCUUCUUCUUAUCCCCUGCGAACGCAGCUGGGAGAAAGAAGGGUUUUCGGAAAAUAGAACUUCGAUAAGGGAUCUAACAUUGCUACGGAAGAACGUAAGGGAGACGGAUCAGUGGAGCUCGACCAGAAACUGAAAUGACGUGUAACCAGAGCACUUCUCUGACUUUGGUGUAUAUUAGGUAGGGGUUUACAUAUGGUUGUUUUUAGCUAGGGGUCAUAUAGUCUUAUAAUACGGUGUUAGACGAUGUUUAUUACAUGAUUAUUUUGAGCUACUAGAGAGAACAAGGAUUUAAAUUUAUAGUAGUCACUUUUAGCCUACUAAAGACU